GCAGUGGUGGUUCAGUGGUAAAAUCCUUGCCUUCCAUGCAGGAGACCCAAGUUCGAUUCCCGGCCAAUGUC
rnacentral:tRNA from 1 species